GCCUCCUUAGUGCAGUAGGCAGCACGUCAGUCUUAUAAUCCGAAGAUCCUGAGUUUGAACCUCAGAGGGGGCA